rnacentral:rRNA from 1 species
GUUUGACCUCAAAUCAUGU